ACCCCCUGUACCUGGGGAGUGCUUAUUGUGUGUGCACAUUUCUGCAGCCUAAUGGAUCAGGCCAGUUGUUCAGAGCUGCAGUAGGCAAAAGCUGGAGUGGGAAACAGCCUCGGGAAGGAACACACCUUCAGGACAGUGCUGGGUAUGGGUCCAUCUCACUCUGAGCCAGCACCGGGCUGAAGCAAAGCCAAGGAGCCACUCUGCUUAAUGCUGAUGUGAAUUUUAAUGAACAAACUCAGAGGGCUCCUCCCCGGUGAAGAUCUGUAGUCACAUCCUCACUCC